rnacentral:rRNA from 1 species
UGAGGAAUCUUGCACAAUGGGCGAAAGCCUGAUGCAGCGACGCCGCGUGGAGGAUGAAGGUUUUCGGAUCGUAAACUCCUGUUAAGUGGGAAGAAAGGCUCAUGCUUAAUACGCAUGAGCGAUGACGGUACCAUUAGAGAAAGCACCGGCUAACUUCGUGCCAGCAGCCGCGGUAAUACGAGGGGUGCUAGCGUUAUUCGGAAUUAUUGGGCGUACAGGGCGCGUAGACGGCAUGUUAAGUCAACUGUUAAAUUCCCCGGCCUAACUGGGGACCAGCAGUAGAUACUGGCAAGCUAGAGGAUGGAAGAGAGAAGUGGAAUUCUCGGAGUAGCGGUAAAAUGCGUAGAUCUCGAGAGGAACACCGAUGGCGAAGGCAGCUUCUUGGUCCAUAUCUGACGUUGAGGCGCGAAAGCGUGGGGAGCAAACAGGAUUAGAUACCCCUGUAGUCC